rnacentral:rRNA from 1 species
UCGUACCGGAGGCAGCAGUCUUAAUUGAGGCCGCAGGGGGGAAUCCUGAACAAUCAACCAAGCGUGAAGAGCCAUACUUGGGAAUGUAAAGGUCUUUAUCAAGAAGAAUGGUAGUGAAAAAGAUAAUGACGUACAUGAGAGAGACGCCCC